AUUGAACGCUGGCGGCAUGCUUUACACAUGCAAGUCGAACGGCAGCGCGGGCUUCGGCCUGGCGGCGAGUGGCGAACGGGUGAGUAAUGCAUCGGAACGUGCCCAGUAGUGGGGGAUAGCCCGGCGAAAGCCGGAUUAAUACCGCAUACGACCUGAGGGUGAAAGCGGGGGACCGAAAGGCCUCGCGCUAUUGGAGCGGCCGAUGUCGGAUUAGCUAGUUGGUGGGGUAGAGGCUUACCAAGGCGACGAUCCGUAGCUGGUCUGAGAGGACGACCAGCCACACUGGGACUGAGACACGGCCCAGACUCCUACGGGAGGCAGCAGUGGGGAAUUUUGGACAAUGGGGGCAACCCUGAUCCAGCCAUGCCGCGUGCGGGAAGAAGGCCUUCGGGUUGUAAACCGCUUUUGUUCGGGAAGAAAUCCUCUGGGCUAAUACCCCGGGGGGAUGACGGUACCGGAAGAAUAAGCACCGGCUAACUACGUG
rnacentral:rRNA from 1 species